rnacentral:lncRNA from 1 species
UUCACCGAUUCACCCAUCUGCCCUAGAUCAACCUCAAUCAUCGAGUCUGCUGAUCUUCCCUUAAAAUCACCAUCGUCUCCACCACAUUGAUCUUAGUUCUGUUCAUACACAAAAUUGUAACCCUAAAAUCAUCAGCUUACAUGAUCCGCCAUUAAUGAAAUCGAGAAGGUAGUAAAGGCGUCUUUCCAGAUCCAAAUUGGAUCAACAAAAUGUACGUUGUGCAUCUCCGAGCUAGGUAUUCGCGGAUCACUGAAACGAAAUGUCUGAUGUGCAUCUCUAAACUAAUCACCAUUAAGAAUCCAUGGUCCCCUCCGACAAUCAUCACCCCAUCAAUUGAUCGCCUUCCUCAUCGCCUCCGUUCCGUCUCCAUCAAUCGACGUUGUUUCCGAUCAAAUUUGGAAGAGGAGAUUAACAAAAUGAACUCUAGUGGUUGACAAUGGAAUUUGUUCCAAUGUACGAAUAUUCGCACAACACAGGUUCUAAUUUUUCAUUUUAUUUUAAUUCCGCCAUUAGUAUAUAUACAAUUUUACACUUCAGAAUUACCUAUUCUGAUUAUGUUCUUGUUUGAAUUGAAAUUUUUGUUUCGACUUAGAGUUAUGAUGCAAAAACAUUCUUUGAUUGAUGUAAAAUCUAAAUUCAUCGAACAAUCUAGGCUUCAUUGUGGCAAUUAUCAACAAUAUGAAGGUGUGAUUUAGCAUUCAAGGAUUCAGUUAUUCUUGAAACAUUCAUCGGUCAGAGGUAACUAAUAUUAUUCCAUCACAAUUUUGUUGUUAAGCUUGUUUUUAUUCAGUGUCAUAUUAGUUGCGAAUUUGAGAAUUAUAGUGUUAUUAAUAGUUAAUAGUUAAUAGUAAUAAUAAUACCAUGGAAAUUAAUCUCUGAAGUGUAAUUUUUUGUUGUUGACCUUCAACAACAGCCAUUGCUGAUGCAGCUUCUCUC